rnacentral:rasiRNA from 1 species
UCCCAAGUUUAAGAGCGACCUG